rnacentral:rRNA from 1 species
AUGGUCGACCGAGGCGGAUCCGGCAGCGGCGGGUCAACUUCGUCAGCGCCCGGCGCCCGUCGACACAGCGCCAGCGACGACGUCGGCCCUUCCUGCUCGGCGCGCAGCUCCAGCCGCUCCUCCAGGUACGCCGCCCAUCAGUCCACCACCACCACCACCCUCUGCUUCGGUGGUGGUACUCGACCACCACUGGGUCCUCGUGCCCACGCCGGGGGCGGCGCGCACUGGGGCGCCCCAAUCCGAGGCACAAGCAGCAACAGGCAAGGGAGAGGGCAGCUACGGGGGAGGCGAUGUCCGCGCGCUGUUUGA